GAGAUAUUGGGCCUAAGCAUCCGUAGCUCGUUCUGUAAGUUUUCGGUUAAAUCCACGCGCUUAACUUAUGGGCUGCCGGGAAUACUGCAUAACUAUGGAAGUGGGAGAGGUAGACGGUACUCGGUAGGAAGGGGUAAAAUCCUUUGAUCUAUUGAUGACCACCUGUGGCGAAGGCGGUCUACCAKAACACGUUCGACGGUGAGGGAUGAAAGCUGGGGGAGCAAACCGGAUUAGAUACCCGGGUAGUCCCAGCUGUAAACUAUGCAAACUCAGUGAUGCAUUGGCUUGUGGCCAGUGCAAUGCUGCAGGGAAGCCGUUAAGUUUGCCGCCUGGGAAGUACGUACGCAAGUAUGAAACUUAAAGGAAUUGGCGGGAGAGCACA
rnacentral:rRNA from 1 species